AUUGAACGCUGGCGGCAUGCCUUACACAUGCAAGUCGAACGGCAGCACGGGAGCAAUCCUGGUGGCGAGUGGCGAACGGGUGAGUAAUAUAUCGGAACGUGCCCAGUCGUGGGGGAUAACGUAGCGAAAGCUACGCUAAUACCGCAUACGAUCUAUGGAUGAAAGCGGGGGAUCGCAAGACCUCGCGCGAUUGGAGCGGCCGAUAUCAGAUUAGGUAGUUGGUGAGGUAAAGGCUCACCAAGCCGACGAUCUGUAGCUGGUCUGAGAGGACGACCAGCCACACUGGGACUGGGACACGGACCAGACUCCUACGGGAGGCAGCAGUGGGGAAUUUUGGACAAUGGGCGCAAGCCUGAUCCAGCAAUGCCGCGUGCAGGAUGAAGGCCUUCGGGUUGUAAACUGCUUUUGUACGGAACGAAACGGCGAGCUCUAAUACCUCGGGAGGAUGACGGUACCUGAAGAAUAAGCACCGGCUAACUACGUGCCAGCCGCCGCAGUAA
rnacentral:rRNA from 1 species